rnacentral:rRNA from 1 species
AGGACGAACGCUGGCGGCGUGCUUAACACAUGCAAGUCGAACGAGGUGCUUCGGCACUUAGUGGCGAACGGGUGAGUAACACGUGAGCAACCUGCCCUUGGCUCUGGGAUAGCCUCCGGAAACGGGGAUUAAUACCGGACAUGACCUUCCCCGGCAUCGGGGUUGGUGGAAAGUUUUUCGGCCAGGGAGGGGCUCGCGGCCUAUCAGCUUGUGGGGGGUAACGGCCCACCAAGGCGACGACGGGUAGCC